rnacentral:rRNA from 1 species
AUGGACAUGCCCACGGCGGCGUGCUCGCCGUCCUCGUCGGCGCAGCCUCCGCCGUCGUCGUCAGGCGUCGAUGUGGUCGUUGACGCGGGGAACGACGAGGAACGGCGGCGCCUGCUCCUCGAUGCCGCCAUCGACGGCAACCUCGACCUCCUCGCCAGGAUGGCGCUGGAGUUGCUGCCGCCGGCGCCUAGCGCCACGGGCGCGGACGUCACCGGCGUCUGGUCGACGUGCGGCAGGGCGCUCCACCUGGCCGCGACCAACGGCAGGACGGACGUCUGCCGCUACCUGGUCCAGGACCUCGCCAUCCCCGUCGACGUCCUCUCCGACGAGCGCGAGACGCCGCUGCUCCUGGCGGCCACCUUCGGCCACACCGCAACGGCGGCCUGGCUCCUGGAGCGCGGCGCCAGCCCGCGCGCCCCGGACGUCGACGGCGAGACCCCGCUCCACUGGGCCGCUUACAACGGGGAUCGCGACCUGGCGAUGCUGCUCCUGUGCAAGGGCGCCGACGUGGGCGCGACGAACCCCCGGGGCACGGCGCUCCACGUCGCCGCCAUGCGCGGGUUCCCGGAAGUCAUCCGCGUCCUGCUGCGCCACGGCGCCGAUCCCAACAAGUUCGCCAGCCGUGUCUUCACGCCCUUGGUCUCGUCGCUUCUUGGUGGCUCCGUGGAAUGCAUGAAGCUGCUCAUUGAGGCUGGGGCUAAUGUUCAUGCCGGUGGAUUCAGUGGAGCGACCCCUCUGUUGUUAGCGUGCAGCCGCCGUGGCAACAUCGGAUUCGUCAAGUGCUUGUUGAAGGCUGGAGCAGAUCCGAACGUUCCUGACGAACUUGGUAGGUUGCCGAUAGAAAUUGCCGCGGUCCAAGGUGGAAAAAAACUUGUUCAACUUCUGUUUCCUGUGACUCGAUGCCCUCCAAACAUGGUUGCCUGGAGUGUUGCUGGCAUCAUGAGUCAUGUGAAUUCUGCUGCUUACAAGGAGCGGGUGAGAAAGGGCUCCUGUAAGAGGAAAGCUGAACUAAAACUAGAAGGGAACAAGGCCUACGAAAUCAAGGACUACGACACGGCUAUACUUAUGUACAACAUGGCACUGAAGUUCGAUGACCCAAACGACAUAGAUGCAUCCAUAUAUGCAAACAAGAGCCUCUGUUGGCUGCGCCUUGGUGUUGGCGACGAGGCGCUUUCGGACGCCCAGGCCUGCAUCAGGUUAUGGCCUGACUGGGGGAAAGGCUACUACCGCCAAGGAGAGGCCUUCCGCUUCCUGCAGGAUUACGCCAGCGCUUACGCCGCGUUUGUCAAGGCAUCGGAGCUUGAUCCGCAGAACCCUAAGAUCGCCAACGCCCUCAGGGAUCUCUUGGAGCGCACGAAGGGCGCAUCGGUUUCACGGUGCUUGGAGGAAGGGGUGCAAGUGCAAGGAAGAAGCCAGGUUCUGUCUGGGCCGUGUGAUCAAACAGUCCAAGGGCGGGGCUCUUUUGUGCAGGCAGUAGGUAGAGGUCAGCCACUAUCCAGUGGCCAGUAG